rnacentral:rRNA from 1 species
UACGGGGGGGGCAAGCGUUGUUCGGAAUUACUGGGCGUAAAGGGCUCGUAGGCGGCCAACUAAGUCGGACGUGAAAUCCCUCGGCUUAACCGGGGAACUGCGUCCGAUACUGGAUGGCUUGAGUUUGGGAGAGGGAUGCGGAAUUCCAGGUGUAGCGGUGAAAUUCGUAGAUAUUAGCUAGAACACCAGUGGCGAAGGCGGCCAACUGGUCCGGUACUGACGCUGAGGUGCGAAAGCGUGGGGAGCAAACAGG